AUUGUGAACAGGGAAUUGGCUCAUUCCUAACAUCACUUUUGAUGGUGUUGACACUGUUGCACUCAGGGCAUACGAUU
rnacentral:tRNA from 1 species